rnacentral:rRNA from 1 species
CGGCAACGGAUAUCUCGGCUCUCGCAUCGAUGAAGAACGUAGCGAAAUGCGAUACUUCGUGUGAAUUGCAGAAUCCCGUGAACCAUCGAGUCUUUGAACGCAAGUUGCGCCCGAAGCCAUCAGGCCGAGGGCACGCCUGCCUGGGCGUCACACGCCGUUGCCCCC